CGCACGUAAUAAUUCCCGAAAAGGUAAACCCUAUGUUGUUGAAAUAUAUCUGAAUAUCAAAUCCUUGUGCGGUAACAACGCCGCCCCACACACCACACAGUUUCUCGGCGGCGCCUCCUCCCCCAUUCUCUACGAUUUCAGCUCUUUAUAGGGUUUAACAACUUCAACCCUCCGGACUCCCCCGAUCAUCGAUCAAACUCAACCCCUAAGAUCUUUCCACACUAGAUAUCAGCUACUGCAAUGGGAAAGAAAAAAGUUGAUGAGAGUGGAGCCCCCUCAAAGGGUAAGCCAGGCGGCAAAGAUGCGCCCAAAGAUGGAAAGGAGAAGAAACUCUCCGUCUCCGCUAUGCUUGCCAGCAUGGACCAGAAACCUGAUAAAGCCAAGAAAGUAACAACAUCCUCCAUCUCUACUUCUAGCAAGCCCAAGGUGAAAGCAGCUGUGAAACCAUCUUAUAUUGAUGCCUUUGAUCUCCCUCCCUCUGAUGAGGAGGAUGAGGAGGCUGCCGCAGCAGAAGAGCUGAAACAUUCCAGGCAGCAGAGGAGUGAUUCAAAGACUCUAGAAAUCUCUGUAACCGACAAAGAGUUGAAGAAACGCGAGAAGAAGGAUAUGCUGGUUGCUCAAGCUGCUGAUAUUGCUAGACAGGAGGCUCUUAAGGAUGAUCAUGAUGCAUUUACCGUUGUUAUUGGUACCCGUGCCUCUGUUCUUGAUGGUGAAAGUGAAGCUGAUGCUAAUGUGAAAGAUAUAACAGUGGAUAAUUUCUCUGUGUCAGCCCGGGGCAAAGAACUCUUAAAGAAUGCAGCUGUGAAGAUAUCUCAUGGGAAGAGGUAUGGAUUGGUUGGACCCAAUGGAAAGGGUAAGUCUACCCUAUUAAAGCUCCUAGCUUGGAGAAAGAUUCCAGUUCCUAAAAAUAUAGAUGUGCUCCUGGUUGAACAAGAGGUAGUCGGCGAUGAUAAAACUGCCCUUGAGGCAGUUGUUUCAGCUAAUGAGGAGCUUGUCAAGAUCCGACGAGAGGUUGCAGCUUUGCAAGAUGCGCCUUCUGCUGCUGGGGUUGAGGAUGGAAACGAUGAUGGGGAUGAUGCUGGAGAGAAGCUUGCUGAAUUGUAUGAAAAAUUGCAGCUGAUGGGGUCGGAUGCUGCUGAGGCUCAGGCAUCAAAGAUUCUUGCUGGGUUAGGUUUCACUAAGGACAUGCAGGGCCGCCCGACGCGGUCUUUUAGUGGGGGCUGGAGGAUGAGAAUUUCAUUGGCUAGAGCACUUUUUGUGCAGCCAACUUUAUUGUUGUUGGAUGAACCCACGAAUCAUCUUGACCUGAGGGCUGUUCUCUGGUUAGAGGAAUACUUGUGCCGCUGGAAGAAAACUCUUGUUGUUGUCUCGCAUGAUCGGGAUUUCCUUAAUACAGUUUGCAAUGAGAUUAUUCACCUCCAUGACCUGAAACUACAAAUAUACCGUGGGAAUUUUGAUGAUUUUGAAAGUGGGUAUGAGCAGCGUCGGAAAGAGAUGAACAAGAAGUUUGAGAUUUAUGAAAAGCAGGUGAAAGCUGCCAAGAGGACUGGGAAUCGGGCUCAACAAGAGAAAGUCAAGGAUCGGGCUAAAUUUGCAGCUGCCAAAGAAGCAUCAAAGAAUAAGGGAAAGGGGAAGGUUGAUGAGGAUGAGCCCCUUCCAGAUGCCCCCCGGAAGUGGAGAGAUUACACUGUGGAGUUCCACUUCCCUGAACCCACUGAGCUAACACCACCACUUUUGCAGCUAAUUGAAGUCAGCUUCAGUUAUCCAAACCGUGAGGAUUUCAGGCUCUCUGAUGUUGAUGUUGGUAUUGAUAUGGGUACACGUGUUGCUAUAAUUGGACCCAAUGGAGCUGGGAAAUCUACAUUGUUAAAUCUUCUAGCUGGCGACUUAGUUCCAACUGAGGGUGAAGUACGAAGGAGUCAAAAGUUGAGGAUUGGGAGAUAUUCACAGCACUUUGUUGAUCUUCUGACAAUGGAUGAAACACCAGUUCAAUAUCUUCUUCGACUUCAUCCGGAUCAAGAGGGACUUAGUAAGCAAGAGGCUGUCCGGGCAAAGCUUGGGAAAUUUGGUCUUCCUAGCCAUAACCACCUCACCCCCAUUGCAAAAUUAUCAGGGGGACAAAAAUCUCGGGUUGUCUUCACUUCAAUCUCCAUGUCAAAGCCACACAUUUUGCUAUUGGAUGAGCCCACAAAUCAUUUGGAUAUGCAGAGCAUUGAUGCACUAGCCGAUGCACUUGAUGAGUUCACUGGUGGAGUUGUCCUCGUCAGUCAUGAUUCAAGAUUAAUAUCACGGGUUUGCGAAGAUGAAGAGAAAAGCAUGAUUUGGGUUGUAGAGAAUGGAACUGUAAGGACUUUCCCUGGUAGUUUUGAUGAAUACAAGGAAGAGCUGCUAAAGGAAAUCAGAGCAGAGGUUGAUGAUUAAAGUGCCUUGUGUGAUAUAGUUUAUACGAAAUGCUAUCAUGUUUGCGGACUCUAGAUAGCUUCAGCUUCAGACAAACAUAGCUAGUAUGUUUAUGGUGCCUAAACUAGUUGUAUCCAGAGGAAUAAGCUUGAGAACUGAACAGUGAUUAAUCAUGCUUGAAGGAGAAACAUUGCAGAAAUGGAUGAAAGCCAUCAAGAGGAGAUCUAUAUGGUAGAACUUGAACUACCACAUACUCUCCGAUAAGCCGAUUAAGAGGUGAUGUUGACCAGCUUGAUUAAUAUAUAUAUAUUGGCUAUUCCAUACAGCUGAUUUCCAAUUCAAGUGUUUUUCAUGAAGAAUUUUGACAUGAGCUUCUUCUUCUUCUCAUUUGUUUGUUUUUUUGGGGGUGAUAAUGAGAGUUCAUGUAUUAAUAGAAUAAAAUGAUAACAUAUGCCCUGCAACAAAGCCAUACAAGCUUCCCAGACAAUACCCAACUAUUUUCUGUAACUUUUCUUUUUUCUUUUUCUUUUUUUUCUUCAUUUUUUGUUGAUGUGAUAAAUUAUAUUCAAUCAAUAUUUGAGGAUUAUUAUUAUGAUUAUUAUUUCGAUUUCU